CCUUAAAUUAUUCCUAACAGAAGCACAGCAUAGCAUUUUUAGGAUUUUUUUAGUUAUUUUUUUAUUUUUAUUAUGUAUGUAGUCCCCUGCCUUUUGAUCCCCAGCUAGAGCCGCCACCCUCUAAAGGAUCAACAAAAUAUCAACCAAAGGAGUUGUUUCUGGUAGCCCAUUUCAUUUCAUCAUCAGUCCAUUUCGGACAGUUGUGUGUGGGACGGCUAUUUUGAAGUGUGGCUCUCCCUCUCACAGCAAUUAAAUAAAGCUUGUUUGUAUUUCAUAUUUUGCCUUUCUUGGAAGUGAAACACCCAACGAGGGCUGAGCCACCUCAAAGCUCAAUCAGGCUGUUACAUUUUUCAACUCUUUUCAGCCGACCCACCCAAUAGAGAGCAAGCAGCAAGAGCUUGGCACCGCCAAAUGGAGUCCACUUCAGUUGUUAUUUUUCUCAUUUCAGUGGGUUUGAUGUACCCUUCUGUAAUCGUAGCUUCAAUUGGGAUAAACUACGGCCAAAUUGCAAACAAUCUGCCAUCCCCAGAAGACGUAGUGCCGCUAGUGAAGUCCAUUGGAGCCACAAAGGUUAAGCUUUACGACGCAGAUGCGCGGGUGCUCAAGGCGUUUGCCAACACCGGCGUGGAAUUCAUAGUGUGUCUGGGCAACGAGUACUUGUCCAAGAUGCAAGAUCCGGCAAAGGCCCAAGCUUGGGUGAAAUCCAACGUCCAGCAGUACCUCCCCGCCACCAAGAUCUCCUGCAUCUUCGUUGGCAACGAAGUGCUGACCUUCAACGACACGUCGUUGAGCGACAACCUCCUUCCGGCUAUGCAGAGCGUGCACACGGCGUUGGUGAACCUGGGGCUGGACAAGCAGGUCAGCGUCACCACGGCCCACUCCUUGGCCAUCCUGGAGAGCUCGUAUCCACCAUCCGCCGGAGCGUUCCGGCGAGAUCUGACGGACUGCAUUACUCCGAUGCUCAACUUCCACGCGAAGACAGGGUCGCCGUUCCUGAUCAACGCGUAUCCUUACUUCGCAUACAAGGCUAAUCCGAAGCAAGUCCCUCUGGAUUUCGUGAUGUUCCAGCAGAACCAAGGGAUUGUAGAUCCCACCUCCAAUCUCCACUACGACAACAUGCUGUUCGCGCAGAUCGAUGCCGUACACUCCGCACUGGAAUCCAUGGGAUUCAAGAAUCUGUCGGUGCACAUUUCGGAGACGGGUUGGCCGUCGAAGGGGGACGAGGACGAGGCCGGGGCGACCCCGGAGAAUGCGAAGAAGUACAACGGGAAUCUGAUAAAGCUGAUAAGCCAGAAGAAGGGGACGCCCAUGAGGCCCAACUGUGACCUCAACAUCUACGUGUUUGCUCUGUUCAACGAGAACAUGAAGCCCGGCCCAACUUCGGAGAGAAAUUACGGGCUGUUUAAACCCGACGGAACCCCUGCCUAUUCUCUAGGGAUCACUACCAACGACGGCCUUAGCAACACUAGUAACCCCACCGCUGGAGGAUCCAGUCCCGGUAUCAUAGUCUCGCCCACCACCACCACCACCUCUUCUUCCAGCACCGGUUAUCUGUCCAUUUCUUCCGCCGCCAGGGAGGGCUACCACCACAAGAUGGCUCCGCUAUUGCUGUUUUUGCUUUUCAUCCUCCUCUGAUAUUUCACACUACAAGUUAAAGGUGUUUGCACUUCAGAGUCAGCCGUUAAAAGUUGCCAAAAUUUGGAGAUAAUACUACGAAUCCGGGAAAGGACAGAUAGACCUAUAUUUCAAUGCCUUAAUAAUUUCUGGUGAGGAGCUUUUGGAUUUGGUAGAGAGAUAGAGAGAGAGAGAGAGAGAGAGGCCAGAGACAGGAUUCAAUUCUUCAUUUUAGUCUAGUUUUACUGAUUUUCCUACAUUUAUUUUCAACCCUUCAUUAUAGUGGAAUGAGUUUGUAUCUCAUAUUUUUAGCAUAAUUCAAGACUGACAGCCAAAUAAAAUAAACAUUUCAACUGUUUUCA